GAUGAAGAACGUAGCGAAAUGCGAUAAGUAAUGUGAAUUGCAGAAUUCAGUGAAUCAUCGAAUCUUUGAACGCACCUUGCACUCCUUGGUAUUCCGAGGAGUACGCCUGUUCGAGUGUUAUGAAGCUCUCAAAACGCAAUUGGCUUAAAACCUGAUUGUUGUUUUGGAUUUGAACUUUGCCGUGUUAUAACGGCUGGUUUUAAAAGUAUUAGCUUGUACUAGAACGAAUUGGUUCUACUCAACGUGAUAAUUAUCUGAUCGUUGAGGACAUUCCUUUCACGAGGAAUGGCCAUAGUAAAUUCAAUGGACUGCUUCUAAUCUGGCUUUAAUUCUUUAUUGGAUUAACCACUUUUCAAAUCUGACCACGAAUCAGGUGGGACUACCCGCUGAACUUAAGCAUAUCAAUAAGCGGAGGA
rnacentral:misc_RNA from 1 species